UACGUAGGGUGCAAGCGUUGUCCGGAAUUAUUGGGCGUAAAGAGCUCGUAGGCGGUCUGUCGCGUCGGCUGUGAAAACCCGGGGCUCAACCCCGGGCCUGCAGUGGAUACGGGCAGACUAGAGUCAGGUAGGGGAGAACGGAAUUCCUGGUGUAGCGGUGAAAUGCGCAGAUAUCAGGAGGAACACCGGUGGCGAAGGCGGUUCUCUGGGCCUGUACUGACGCUGAGGAACGAAAGCGUGGGGAGCGAACAGG
rnacentral:rRNA from 1 species